rnacentral:rRNA from 1 species
UAGGGAAUCUUCGGCAAUGGGGGCAACCCUGACCGAGCAACGCCGCGUGAGUGAAGAAGGUUUUCGGAUCGUAAAGCUCUGUUGUAAGAGAAGAACGUGUGUGAGAGUGGAAAGUUCACACAGUGACGGUAACUUACCAGAAAGGGACGGCUAACUACGUGCCAGCAACCGCGGUAAUACGUAGGUCCCGAGCGUUGUCCGGAUUUAUUGGGCGUAAAGCGAGCGCAGGCGGUUUAAUAAGUCUGAAGUUAAAGGCAGUGGCUUAACCAUUGUUCGCUUUGGAAACUGUUAAACUUGAGUGCAGAAGGGGAGAGUGGAAUUCCAUGUGUAGCGGUGAAAUGCGUAGAUAUAUGGAGGAACACCGGUGGCGAAAGCGGCUCUCUGGUCUGUAACUGACGCUGAGGCUCGAAAGCGUGGGGAGCAAACAGG